rnacentral:rRNA from 1 species
ACUCCUACGGGAGGCAGCAGUAAGGAAUAUUGGUCAAUGGACGCAGGUCUGAACCAGCCAUGCCGCGUGAAGGAUGAAGGUCCUCUGGAUUGUAAAACUUCUUUUAUAGGGGGCGAAAAAGGUUUUUCUAAAUCACUUGACAGUACCCUAUGAAUAAGCACCGGCUAACUCCGUGCCAGCAGCCGCGGUAAUACGGAGGGGUGCAAGCGUUAUCCGGAUUCACUGGGGUUUAAAGGGUGCUUAGGCGGGUAGGUAAGUCAGAGGUGAAAUCCUGGAGCUUAACUCCAGAACUGCCUUUGAUACUAUCUAUCUUGAAUAUGGUGGAGGUAAGCGGAAUAUGUCAUGUAGCGGUGAAAUGCAUAGAUAUGACAUAGAACACCUAUUGCGAAGGCAGCUUACUACGCCUAUAUUGACGCUGAGGCACGAAAGCGUGGGGAUCAAACAGGAUUAGAUACCCUGGUAGGAUAGCG